UUAGAGUUUGAUCCCGGCUCAGAUUGAACGCUGGCGGCAGGCCUAACACAUGCAAGUCGAGCGGAUGACGGGAGCUUGCUCCUUGAUUCAGCGGCGGACGGGUGAGUAAUGCCUAGGAAUCUGCCUGGUAGUGGGGGACAACGUUUCGAAAGGAACGCUAAUACCGCAUACGUCCUACGGGAGAAAGCAGGGGACCUUCGGGCCUUGCGCUAUCAGAUGAGCCUAGGUCGGAUUAGCUAGUUGGUGAGGUAAUGGCUCACCAAGGCGACGAUCCGUAACUGGUCUGAGAGGAUGAUCAGUCACACUGGAACUGAGACACGGUCCAGACUCCUACGGGAGGCAGCAGUGGGGAAUAUUGGACAAUGGGCGAAAGCCUGAUCCAGCCAUGCCGCGUGUGUGAAGAAGGUCUUCGGAUUGUAAAGCACUUUAAGUUGGGAGGAAGGGCAGUAAGUAAUACCUUGCUGUUGCGUA
rnacentral:rRNA from 1 species